AUGUCAUAUAGGGCGGCUGCAGAACUAGGAUGUGCAGUGUGGCCUCUGGGCUCUAACAUCAGUGAGCUUCACUGCUGCACUGUACUGCAUGGAACAGAUUCUGGAAGGGAUUGCAACAAUUUCCAAAGGAGAAGGGAAAGGAGUCCUCCUGCUGGAGCAGGUUGGAAGCCACUGAGCCAGGCUAUCAUCCCGGCUCAGCAGAGACCGAGUCAUGAGACCUGAGGUCCUUGAGAUGACCUCAUAUAAACACCACCAAGGGACUAGCACAGUGGCCCAGCGCACAGAAGGGGCUUAAUACAUGGUAGGUGGUAUGCAUGCAUGUGCUUCUGGUUCAGAUCCUCUCUCUGCCCUUUGCUGGGUUAGGGAGUGUGACCGUGGGCAAGGUCAGCACUGACAGGCCCUCGUGUCCUCGUCUACCACAUGGCUGAUGGGACAGCAGCUAGUUGGUGAGGCGGCCACAAGACUCAAGGAGCUUUCUGUGUGACAGAGCCAGCCCCAAACCAAGCACUCCAUGGGCAGCAACUGUGGGUUUACUAUUAUUUACUGAGCGAUGCUUUCAGAGUGGUGUGAGAAGGUCACCAGGCUGGGAAGGAGGAAAUCUAGCUCCUGGUUUUGGUUCAGAGUCAGCAAAGGACUUGAGAGACAGUGAGACACUCGGGUGCAGCCUCUCAGGGUCAGCACAGAGGAGGUAGCCGUAUAUACGCUGGCCCGCAUCUCCCCCAGGUGUAGGCUAGCUCCCCAGAGCAAACUCACUCGGGAAAGGGGCACAUAUUGAACCUGUGGAUAAAUAUCACGGUUGUCCAACAUGCAAAUGUUCCUGUUUGCAUCCUUUCCCACCAGAGCGAGAAAGUCUGUCUCCCUAUGCCCCAACCCAUCGACAUUUUUUAAGUUUCAAUUUUAUGAAUUUUUUGACUAGGUCAUAUUUGCAGAUGGCACAAAAUUUUAAAAGGUGCAAAGCGGCAGGGCCCUUGGCUGGCUCAGUCUGUAGCACAUGUGACUCUUGAUCUCGAGGUUGUAAGUUUGAGCCCCACAUUGGGUAUAGAGAUUACUUAAAAAUAAAAAAUAAAAAAAAGAAAAGGUGCA
rnacentral:lncRNA from 12 species